CACGUAGUUAGCCGUGGCUUGCUCCUUAGCUACCGUCAUUUUUCUUCACUAAGAACAGAAGUUUACAAUCCGAAAACCGUCUUCCUUCACGCGGCGUUGCUGCAUCAGGGUUUCCCCCAUUGUGCAAUAUUCCCCACUGCUGCCUCCCGUAGGAGUCUGGGCCGUGUCUCAGUCCCAAUGUGGCCGUUCAACCUCUCAGUCCGGCUAUGGAUCGUUGACUUGGUAGGCCGUUACCCCACCAACUAUCUAAUCCAACGCGAGCCCAUCCUUCGGCACCUCAGUUUUGGUAUUUCUAUCAUGCGGUAAAAAUACGUUAUGCGGUAUUACUGUCCGUUUCCAGACACUAUCCCCCUCCGAAGGGCAGGUUGCUCACGCGUUACUCACCCGUCCGCCACUCAGUCAUAUCAUUCUUCAUUCCGAAGAAAUCUGAAUUCAAGCUUCGUUCGACUUGCAUGUGUUAGGCACGCCGCCAGCGUUCGUCCUGAGCCAGGAUCAAACUCU
rnacentral:rRNA from 1 species